UACGGGGGGGCAAGCGUUGUUCGGAAUUACUGGGCGUAAAGGGCUCGUAGGCGGCCAACUAAGUCGGAUGUGAAAUCCCCAAGCUUAACUUGGGAACUGCAUCCGAUACUGGAUGGCUUGAAUCCGGGAGAGGGAUGCAGAAUUCCAGGUGUAGCGGUGAAAUGCGUAGAUGUCUGGAGGAAUACCGGUGGCGAAGGCGGCAUCCUGGACCGGCAUUGACGCUGAGGAGCGAAAGCUAGGGGAGCAAACGGG
rnacentral:rRNA from 1 species